rnacentral:rRNA from 1 species
GGACUACAGGGGUUUCUAAUCCUGUUUGCUCCCCACGCGGUCGUCGUCCAGUGUCAGGGUCGCGCCAGCACCCCGGCUUCCCCACGGGUAUUCUUCCUGAUCUCUACACAUUUCACUGCUCCACCAGGAGUUCUAGGUGCCUCUCACGCCCUCAAGCCCGGCCGUUUCGGCGGACGCCGCCCGGUUAAGCCGAGCGAUUUCACACACCGACGCACCGCGCCACCUACCGACGCUUUACGCCCAGUAAUUCCGGACAACGCUUGCCUCCUACGUAUUACCGCGGCUGCUGGCAC